GCUGGCGGCACGCCUUAUACAUGCAAGUCGAACGAAGUAGCAAUACUUAGUGGCAGACGGGUGAGUAACAUGUAGGUAUCUUCCCUUUGGUGAGGAAUAACACGAGGAAACUUGUGCUAAUACCUCAUAAGUCUUUACAGAGAAAGCUUUAUGCGCCGAAGGAUGAGCCUGCACUUGAUUAGUUUGUUGGUGGGGUAAUGGCCUACCAAGACUUUGAUCAAUAGCUGAUCUGAGAGGAUGAUCAGCCACAUUGGGACUGAGACACGGCCCAAACUCCUACGGGAGGCAGCAGUAGGGAAUAUUGCACAAUGGAGGAAACUCUGAUGCAGCGAUGCCGCGUGAGUGAAGAAGGCCUUUGGGUUGUAAAGCUCUUUCGUCGGGGAAGAAAAUGACUGUACCCGAAUAAGAAGGUCCGGCUAACUUCGUGCCAGCAGCCGCGGUAAUACGAAGGGACCUAGCGUAGUUCGGAAUUACUGGGCUUAAAGAGUUCGUAGGUGGUUAAAAAAGUUGGUGGUGAAAUCCCAGAGCUUAACUCUGGAACUGCCAUCAAAACUUUUUAGCUAGAGUAUGAUAGAGGAAAGCAGAAUUUCUAGUGUAGAGGUGAAAUUCGUAGAUAUUAGAAAGAAUACCAAUUGCGAAGGCAGCUUUCUGGAUCAUUACUGACGCUGAGGAACGAAAGCAUGGGUAGCGAAGAGGAUUAGAUACCCUCGUAGUCCAUGCCGUAAACGAUGUGUGUUAGACGUUGGAAAUUUAUUUUCAGUGUCGCAGCGAAAGCAUUAAACACACCGCCUGGGGAGUACGACCGC
rnacentral:rRNA from 1 species